CGGGCGUCACAACGGCUUCCUGGCGUGACGCCGGCAAUCAAUGGAGCA
rfam:Marinovum algicola DG 898, complete genome.